GACGAACCGUGCGAACGUUAUUCGGAAUCACUGGGCUUAAAGCGCGUGUAGGCGGGGCGGCACGUCGGUCGCUGAAAGCCCCCGGCUCAACCGGGGAACGGGCGCCGAUACGACCGCCCUGGAGGGACGUAGGGGGGCCUGGAAUUUCCGGAGUAGCGGUGAAAUGCGUAGAUAUCGGAAGGAACACCAGUGGCGAAGGCGGCUUCCUGGGCUAAUACUGACACUGAGGUGCGAAAGCGUGGGGAGCAAACAGG
rnacentral:rRNA from 1 species